rnacentral:rRNA from 1 species
GGCAUAACCCCGGGAAACUGGGGCUAAUUUUCGAUAGGCGAAGAUCUCUGGAAUGAGUCUUCACCUAAAAGACGCUAAAGUUAUGCUCUUUAGCACCGCCCAAGGAUGGGGCCGCGACCGAUCAGGUUGUUGGUGAGGUAAUGGCUCACCAAGCCUUUUACCGGUGCGGGCCGUGAGAGCGGGAGCCCGGAGAUGGGCACUGAGACAAGGGCCCAGGCCCUACGGGGCGCAGCAGUCGCGAAAACUUUGCAAUAAGCGAAAGCUUGACAGGGCUAUCCCGAGUGCCAUCCGCUGAGGAAGGCUUUUACCCAGUCUAGAACGCUGGGGGAAUAAGGAGAGGGCAAGUCUGGUGUCAGCCGCCGCGGUAAUACCAGCUCUCCGAGUGGUGUGGAUGUUUAUUGGGCCUAAAGCAUCCGUAGCUGGCUAGGUUAGUCCCCUGUUAAAUCCACCGAAUUAAUCGUUGGGUUGCGGGGGAUACUGCUUAGCUAGGGGACGAGAGAGGCAGACGGUAUUUCCGGGGUAGGGGUGAAAUCCUAUAAUCCCGGGAAGACCACCAGUGGCGAAGGCUGUCUGCUAGAACGCGCCCGACGGUGAGGGAUGAAAGCUGGGGGAGCGAACCGGAUUAGAUACCCGGGUAGUCCCAGCUGUAAACGAUGCAGACUAGGUGUUUGGACGGCCACGUGCCGUUCUAGUGCCGCAGGGAAGCUGUUAAGUCUGCCGCCUGGGGAGUACGAUCGCAAGAUUGAAACUUAAAGGAAUUGGCGGGGGAGCACCACAAGGGGUGAAGCUUGCGGUUUAAUUGGAGUCAACGCCGGAAAUCUCACCGGGAGCGACAGCAGAAUGAAGGCCAGAUUAAAGGUCUUGCCAGACAAGCUGAGAGGAGGUGCAUGGCCGUCGCCAGUUCGUGCUGUGAGGUGUCCUGUUAAGUCAGGCAACGAUCGAGACCCGCAUCCUCUGUUGCAACUAGCUUUGUGCUGGGCACACUGAGGAGACCGCCACUGAUAAAGUGGAGGAAGGAGCGGGCCACGGCAGGUCAGUAUGCCCCGAAUCUCCCGGGCCACACGCGAGCUGCAAUGGCAGGUACAAUGAGUUCCGACCUCGAAAGGGGAAGGCAAUCCCGAAAGCCUGCCGUAGUUGGGAUCGAGGGCUGUAACUCGC